rnacentral:rRNA from 1 species
GUCUACAACCAUACUUCCCUGAACACACCCAAUCUCAUCUGAUCCUGGAAGCUAAGCAGGGUUGGGCCUGGUUAAUGCUUGGAUGGGGAGGAAGAGGGAGAGAGAGAAUGGGUGUGUCAGGGUUUCUAGCCA